CCUACGGGUGGCAGCAGUGAGGAAUAUUGGUCAAUGGACGAGAGUCUGAACCAGCCAAGUAGCGUGAAGGAUGACUGCCCUAUGAGUUGUAAACUUCUUUUAUAUGGGAAUAAAACGUUCCACGUGUGGGAUUUUGUAUGUACCAUAUGAAUAAGGAUGGGCUAACUCCGUGCCAGCAGCCGCGGUAAUACGGAGGAUGCGAGCGUUAUCCGGAUUUAUUGGGUUUAAAGGGGGGGAUGGGGGAAUGUCAGGUCAGCGGUAAAAGUUCGGGGCUAAACCCAGUCGUGCCGUUGAAACUGGGGUUCUUGAGUGAGCGAGAGGUAUGCGGAAUGCGUGGUGUAGCGGUGAAAUGCAUAGAUAUCACGCAGAACUCCGAUUGCGAAGGCAGCAUACCGGCGCUCAACUGACGCUCAUGCACGAAAGCGUGGGUAUCGAACAGGAUUAGAUACCCUUGUAGUC
rnacentral:rRNA from 1 species